AUUGAACGCUGGCGGCAGGCCUAACACAUGCAAGUCGAACGAGAAGCGGACGGGUGAGUAAUGUAUGGGAAACUGCCUGAUGGAGGGGGAUAACUACUGGAAACGGUAGCUAAUACCGCAUACCAUCGGAUGUGCCCAGAUGGUAUUAGCUAGUAGGUGGGGUACAGGCUCACCUGGGCUACGAGCCAUAGCUGGUCUGAGCGGAUGACCAGCCACACUGUGACUGAGCCACGGUCCAGACUCCUACGGGAGGCAUCAGUGGGGAAUAUGGCACAAUGGGCGCAAGCCUGAUGCAGCCAUGCCGCGUGUAUGAAGAAGGCCUUCGGGUUGUAAAGUACUUUCAGCGGGGAGGCGUUACCCGCAGAAGAAGCACCGGCUAACUCCGUGCCAGCAGCCGCGGUAAUAC
rnacentral:rRNA from 1 species